UUGGAGGGCAAGUCUGGUGCCAGCAGCCGCGGUAAUUCCAGCUCCAAUAGCGUAUAUUAAAGUUGUUGCAGUUAAAAAGCUCGUAGUUGAAUUUUAGGCCUGGCCGGGCGGUCCGUCUUUGGCGAGUACUGUUCUGUGUCGGGUCUUACCUUCUGGUAAACCGGCAUGUUCUUUUAUUGUGUGUGCCGUGGGAACCAGACCAUUACCUUGAAAAAAUUAGAGUGUUUAAAGCGGGCUUUUGCUUGAAUAGAUUAGCAUGGAAUAAUAAAAUAGGACGUUGGUUCUAUUUUGUUGGUCUAGGACCACCGUAAUGAUUAAUAGGGAUAGUUGGGGGCAUUAGUAUUCAAUUGUCAGAGGUGGAAUUCUUGGAUUUAUUGAAGACUAACUAUUGCGAAAGCAUUUGCCAAGGAUGUUUUCAUUAAUCAAGAACGAAAGUUAGGGGAUCGAAGACGAUCAGAUACCGUCGUAGUCUUAACCAUAAACUAUGCCGACUAGGAAUCGGGCGUCGUUAUUUUCACGACUCGCUCGGCGCCUUAUGGGAAACCAAAGUGUUUGGGUUC
rnacentral:rRNA from 1 species